UCCCUGGAGGGCUAGUAGUUAGGCCUUGGCGCUCUCAUUGCCAUGUUCCAGGUUUGAUUCCUGGCCAGGGAA